rnacentral:rRNA from 1 species
AUUGAACGCUGGCGGCAGGCCUAACACAUGCAAGUCGAACGGUAACAGGAAACAGCUUGCUGUUUCGCUGACGAGUGGCGGACGGGUGAGUAAUGUCUGGGAAACUGCCCGAUGGAGGGGGAUAACUACUGGAAACGGUGGCUAAUACCGCAUAACGUCUUCGGACCAAAGUGGGGACCUUCGGGCCUCACACCAUCGGAUGUGCCCAGAUGGGAUUAGUUAGUAGGUGGGGUAAUGGCUCACCUAGGCGACGAUCCCUAGCUGGUCUGAGAGGAUGACCAGCCACACUGGGACUGAGACACGGCCCAGACUCCUACGGGAGGCAGCAGUGGGGAAUAUUGCACAAUGGGCGCAAGCCUGAUGCAGCCGUGCCGCGUGUGUGAAGAAGGCCUUAGGGUUGUAAAGCACUUUCAGUAGGGAGGAAGGCAGUCGUGUUAAUAGCACGAUUGAUUGACGUUACCUACAGAAGAAGCACCGGCUAACUCCGUGCCAGCAGCCGCCGUAA